AGUAAGAUCAGCUAAGUAAGCUUUUGGGUCCAUACCCCAAAAAUGUAGGCUAAAAUCCUUCUCUUAUUA
rnacentral:tRNA from 1 species